GAAAUUGCCUAUAAAAUUAUAUAUUAUGUUGUUAUAUUUUAUUAUAUAUUAUAUCAUAUAUUAUAACAUAUAACCUACGAAAACUAAUAUAUAUUAUAUAUAUAUUUGUUUUUAAUUUCCAGUCCCUUUGGAACAGCCUAAAGGAACAGGCACCACGGGCGUAGCCCCUGGCACAACUGUUGCCCCAGGAAGUUCCAAAACAGAGGCCACGACGUCCCUUGGGGAAAGCAAAGCAACUGGAAUUGGGAUAGCGACAGGUGAGUAUCACAUACUGAUACCUGUACCUCAUAUAACAGCAAAUAAACACACACACAAACACACACACACUCUCUCUCUCUUUCUCUCUCUCUCUCUGUCUCUCUUUCUCUCAAGGUCUUACACUGGAGUCUUUAUUCCCAGAGCACACAAUUGCCUUUAUUAUUCCACCUUGAAGACAAAAUAAUGACACAGAUAUAGCAAUGUGGAGAGAAAAUUCUCCUGUCCUCCAAAGUAAGAGACGUGAUGGUAAACAAUUCCAAAGGAGUUAUAGAAAUAUUUUCAUGUGAGAGCUUAAG